rnacentral:rRNA from 1 species
ACCUCUGCAAUAGGCGAAAGCCUGGCAGGGUUACUCUGAGUGAUUUUCGUUAAGAAAGUCUUUUGGCACCUCUAAAAAUGGUGCAGAAUAAGGGGUGGGCAAGUCUGGUGUCAGCCGCCGCGGUAAUACCAGCACCCCGAGUGGUCGGGACGAUUAUUGGGCCUAAAGCAUCCGUAGCCGGUUCUGCAAGUCUCCCGUUAAAUCCAACUGCUCAACAGGUGGGCUGCGGAGGAUACUACAGAGCUAGGAGGCAGGAGAGGCAAGCGGUACUCAGUGGGUAGGGGUAAAAUCCGUUGAUCCAUUGAAGACCACCAGUGGCGAAGGCGGCUUGCCAGAAUGCGCUCGACGGUGAGGGAUGAAAGCUGGGGGAGCAAACCGGAUUAGAUACCCGGGUAGUCCCAGCCGUAAACGAUGCAGACUCAGUGAUGGGUUGGCUUCGCGCUAACCCAGUGCCGCAGGGAAGCCGUUAAGUCUGCCGCCUGGGUAGUACGGUCGCAAGACUGAAACUUAA